rnacentral:tRNA from 1 species
UCCCUGGUGGCUCAGCAGUAAAGAAUCUGCUUGCAAUGCAGAAGACCCGGGUUCGAUCCCUGGGUUGGGAA